rnacentral:tRNA from 1 species
GCCUGGUUAGCUCAGUUGGUAAAGCUGACUCAGACUUUUAAUUUGAGGGUCCAGCGUUCAAGUCCCUGGUCAGGCA